CUCGGUGUUUGAGGGGUUUGUUAGUGAGUGGGAGGUUUUUCCAGGCUCGAAGCUGAGCAGCGCUCGCCAAGGCCCGCGCCUUCCAGCCGCUAGCCGCCGGCUUCUGUUUCCGCCGCACCCAGGCUUCAUCCAUUUCUGACUGCCCAGGACCACACCAUGGCCUAACUGCUGGUCUCUCAGCGAGAGAGGGGGGAAAGAAAAUACCCCCGUCCACAACUUGGACCUUGGCUCCCGCCCCUCUCCGGCGGAGUGGAGAUCCUAUUCAGAGGGGCCGGUUUCUCUAAAUAUGCCCCAGGAGAAAUUUUCCCUGCGGGGAAUUGGGAGCUGCUUGAGACCCUGUGCCUGCCCCGCAGGAGCUCCUGGGAUCCCUGUCUUGCUCAGACACAAACGGAAAUGUUGCGGCCAUCUGGCGACAGGAGAUGAGGAUCCGGUGUUGGGGGCUUCGAGCUGGUUGUGGGCCGCACAAAGACAGAGGAGUUAUAAUGGUCAAAUAGCCUAGUGUGAUUCUGUUCAAAAGCUUCUCCCCACUCUUUCAUCUUCCCUGAAUAAAAACAAAUGAACGAACGACAAUCACUCAGGCUUUCCUUCCAGUAAUCUUAACCGAAGCCAAGUGAUGGGGUUUAGUCCCCUACAACCAAAGGCACUUAUGAGUCCUCUGUUGGCUUUUUCUGGAGCAUGGACCCCUCUCCUGGGUGAUCCUGGUUGCUGAACAGCCUGCCGGGUUUUCCUAAGGUCCCGGGGAUGGGCGGGGAGAGGUCGGCCACAGACCCUGGGGACCAAUCAUAGGUUUCUCACAGGGAGCCUCGGAGAUAUAGAUAUUUAUAGGCGGCUGGGGAGGGCAUUUGGGGCCAGGGUCAACUCAUCUGGAAUAUGUGAUCCUCUCGCCCCUCCGCCCCUCCGGGAUCCGCGCCUACACGAAGCCUUGGAAUUAAUCAGAGGGUAUAAAUAUGUCAUAAGGAGAGCUUGAACUCAGUCUGGUGAUUGCAGUGUGCACCGUUUGUUUGCUACUCGGUUAGAAGCUGGGGCUGAAGCACGUGUCACUGGGCACACAACGGUGUGUGGGGACAGUAAGGAUGACGGAGCGGCCGCCGAGC